GAUGAAGAACGUAGCGAAAUGCGAUACUUGGUGUGAAUUGCAGAAUCCCGUGAACCAUCGAGUCUUUGAACGCAAGUUGCGCCCGAAGCCACUAGGCCGAGGGCACGCCUGCCUGGGCGUCACACGUCGUUGCCCCCCCCAUCUACUCCUUCGGGAUUGCGGGGGGCGGAUGAUGGCCUCCCGUGCGCCUCGCCGCGCGGUUGGCAUAAAUGCCAAGUCCUCGGCGACGCACGCCACGACAAUCGGUGGUUGCGAAACCUCGGUUGCCCGUCGUGUGCGGUCGUCGCGCAUCGAGGGCUCGAAAAAAUUGCCGAGUUCCGGCUCGGCUUUCAACGCGACCCCAGGUCAGGCGGGGUUACCCGCUGAAUUUAAGCAUAUCAAUAAGCGGAGGA
rnacentral:misc_RNA from 1 species